rnacentral:lncRNA from 1 species
CUUUGUUCAUUGAUUAUUUAGGGACAUCUAUUUUAUCAUCAUAACUAGAUUAUAAGUUUCUUGGGGGAAAAAUUCCUUCUUCUUGGUAAAGGUUUCCUAUGGUGCAUAGCUUCAUACCUGUCCAUAAUAGUAUUCAAUAAAUAUAUUCAUGGACUAUUAAGGGUGAUUUUUCAAAUUUAUCAGAGAAAAAGGAGAAAGAAUGGGGGGGGUGAAUUUCAGAAACUAUUUUGGGCAUUUGACCAAAGUAGUGUCAGUUAGUCUCCCAAAUGUAUUGAUCUAUUGUUUGCAAUUAAGAAAAUCCUUAUAAUCUUGUGCAAUUCUUGUUCCACAACAUAGAGCAGAGCUUGGUGGGACCUUGGUAAAAAUCGUUCACCUAUGGCAAACAUCACCUAGCAAAACUCUCUGAAAAGUUGGAAAAUAGUUACUUUCAUGGAAAUAUUAAUUAAACUACUAAACAAAGGUAACACAGUGCUGUGACUCUGAGUAUAGAUCUGGAAGCAGACUCCUUAGGGCUUGAAUCCUGGCUCUGGUACUUUCCAUCUCUGCACAGUUUCCUCAUCU